UACGGAGGGUGCAAGCGUUGCUCGGAAUCACUGGGCGUAAAGCGUACGCAGGCGGCUCGUUAAGUCGGGUGUGAAAGCCCGGGGCUCAACCCCGGAACUGCAUUCGAAACUGGCGAGCUUGAAUACGGGAGAGGGAAGCGGAAUUCCUGGUGUAGAGGUGAAAUUCGUAGAUAUCAGGAGGAACACCUGUGGCGAAAGCGGCUUCCUGGCCCGAUAUUGACGCUCAGGUACGAAAGCGUGGGGAGCAAAC
rnacentral:rRNA from 1 species